UUUUGUAUUGGACAACAGUCAAGGAUGAAGCAUGUGGUAUCUUAUGAAAAGCACGGUGAACUUGCUGCCCCAGGGAAUAUUUUUUCCUCCCAAACUCACUCCAAGUACACACACAAGGCAAGAAAGAGACCUUCUCUUCCCUCUGCAUUGAACUUUUCAAGGACUCCAGAGGCUUGCUUACAUACUGUCAUCUGGGAUAUGGAUCAGCUUUUUGCAGAAUGAGAGAGCUGCUGGAAGCAUGACACCUGGACAGAAACUGAGUGAUACCCUCUACAGUGUCACAGGAAGCCAAACAGCUCCAUUGCCUUCUCUGGGACAGGGGCCAUGAUCUUCUUGCCCACUUAGGAGUGGCCAGUACUCUUAAUAAUGCUCAUGAGGAAAAUCCAAGGUUGUUGUCCAAUUAUCUGUGUCUAAUUGCAUUUAAUCAGGGCCUUGCAAAGCAAAGGUGGGUCUGCCAGACAGUGUUAUUACUGUGUUAUAACAGGGUGAGUUAUUUUGUUAUUCAAAGUAGAUAGUUUAGAAGAAAUUAAAAAUUGG